rnacentral:rRNA from 1 species
GAUGAACGCUGGCGGCGUGCCUAAUACAUGCAAGUCGAGCGAAGCGGGGGCGGGGGAGUAACACGUGGAUAACCGCCUAUACGAAUGGGAUAACUUCGGGAAACACGAGCUAAACCGGAUACUUAUGUGUGGAUCCGCGCUGCAUUAGCGAGGUGGUAAGGUAACGGCUUACCAAGGCAACGACGCAUAGCCGACCUUGGAGGGGGAUCGGCCACACUGGAACUGAGACACGGCCCAGACUCCUACGGGAGGCAGCAGUAGGGAAUCUUCCUCAAUGGGCGAAAGCCUGACGGAGCAACGCCGCGUGAGUGAUGAAGGUUUUCGGAUCGUAAAACUCUGUUAUUAGGGAAGCGGUACCUAAUCAGAAAGCCACGGCUAACUACGUGCCAGCAGCCGCGGUAAUUC